rnacentral:rRNA from 1 species
AUUGAACGCUGGCGGCAGGCCUAACACAUGCAAGUCGAACGAGUGGCGGACGGGUGAGUAAUGUCUGGGAAACUGCCUGAUGGAGGGGGAUAACUACUGGAAACGGUAGCUAAUACCGCAUACCAUCAGAUGUGCCCAGAUGGGAUUAGCUUGGUGGUGGGGUAACGGCUCACCAAGGCGACGAUCCCUAGCUGGUGUGAGAGGAUGACCAGCCAAUAUGGAAAUCAGACACGUCCCAGGCACCUACGGGAGGCAGCAGUGGGGAAUAUUGCACAAUGGGAGCAAGCCUGAUGCAGCCAUGCCGCGUGUAUGAAGAAGGCCUUCGGGUUGUAAAGUACUUUCAGCGGGGAGGCGUUACCCGCAGAAGAAGCACCGGCUAACUCCGUGCCAGCAGCCGCGGUAAUUC